ensembl:lncRNA DHRS4L1 dehydrogenase/reductase 4 like 1 (pseudogene)
GGGGGGAGGGGCGCUCACGCAACCGCCACUGUCUGGAGCGGGCUCGCCUCUGCGGCAGCCCUCACCGCCCGGGCUUUACUGAAGCGGAGUCUAGCAUGUGCGGCUGCUCCACAGCGGUGUGGGUGGCGGCGGCUCCUCUGCAGCAGCCUCGGCAGUAGGGGUCAGGGUGGCCAAGCCCACCGUGGAGCUCAUCUGAGAGUUGUAAGGUACGGGACUGCCUCGGUCUUUGGGACGCCCCGUCUGGUAGCAUCCCAGAUCCAGCACGUUCCUUCCGGCCCUGCACCCCGGCCCGGUGCCUCACACCCCGCUACCCCAAGCAUCCAGACUCUAAGGCAGCCCCUGCAUCUCAGUCCUGACAUCGCUGUCCCUGGAGCAUCCUCCGCUGGAGCUGGAGCUUGACAGGAUCGGCUUCGCCGUCGCCCAGCGUCUGGCCCAAGACGGGGCCCACGUGGUAGUCAGCCGCCGGAAGCAGCAGAAUGUGGACCAGGCAGUGGCCACGCUGCAGGGGGAGGGGCUGAGCAUGACGGGCACUGUGUGCCAUGUGGGGAAGAUGAAGGACUGGGAGCGGCUGGUGGCCACAGUGAGCUGCAGGGAAAUGGGCACAGAGCCAGGAGGUGGAAAAGGGAGCCAGCCUGAGCCUCCUUCCCUGCUUUCCUGGACAGCAUUGGGCUUCAGUCCUUACAAUGUCAGUAAAACAGCCUUGCUGGGCCUCAACAAGACCUUGGCCAUAGAGCUGGCCCCAAGGAACAUUAGGGUGAACUGCCUAGCACCUGGACUUAUCAAGACUAGCUUCAGCAGGAUGCUCUGGAUGGACAAGGAAAAAGAGGAAAGCAUGAAAGAAACCCUGCGGAUAAGAAGGUUAGGCGAGCCAGAGGAUUCUCUUGGCAUCGUGUCUUUCCUGUGCUCUGAAGAUGCCAGCUACCUCACUGGGGAAACAGUGAUGGUGGGUGGAGGAACCCCGUCCCGCCUCUGAGGACCCGGAGACAGCCCACAGGCCAGAGUUGGGCUCUAGCUCCUGGUGCUGUUCCUGCAUUCACCCACUGGCCUUUCCCACCUCUGCUCACCUUACUGUUCACCUCAUCAAAUCAGUUCUGCCCUGUGAAAAGAUCCAGCCUUCCCUGCCGUCAAGGUGGUGUCUUACUCGGGAUUCCUGCUGUUGUUGUGGCCUUGGGUAAAGGCCUCCCCUGAGAACACAGGACAGGCCUGCUGACAAGGCUGAGUCUACCUUGGCAAAGACCAAGAUAUUUUUUGCCCAGGCCACUGGGGAAUUUGAGGGGAGAUGAGAGAGAAGGAAGCUGGAGUGGAAGGAGCAGAGUUGCAAAUUAACAACUUGCAAAUGAGGUGCAAAUAAAAUGCAGAUGAUUGCGCGGCUUUGAAUCGAA